AGUACCUUUAAUUCGGUCCAGAGAGACUGACAAGGUUAGCGGAAUGUAUUAUAAAUAAAGUUAUAUUAAUAAUUUAAUAUGUUUUUAAAUUAUUAAUAAGUUAAGUAAUUUAUAACGCAUAAAAUUAAGCUUCCUUUCAGGUUUCUGAAAGGAAGCUUUUGUG
rfam:Clostridium sp. HMP27 Clostridium-HMP27_contig_1, whole genome shotgun sequence.